rnacentral:rRNA from 1 species
GACGAACGCUGGCGGCGUGCUUAACACAUGCCAGUCGAACGGUGAUGCUCCAGCUUGCUGGCGUGGAUCAGUGGCGAACGGGUGAGUAACACGUGAGCAACCUGCCCCAGACUCUGGAAUAAGCGCUGGAAACGGCGUCUAAUACUGGAUACGAAACUGGCCCGCAUGGGCAUGGUUUGGAAAGUUUUUCGGUUUGGGAUGGGCUCGCGGCCUAUCAGCUUGUUGGUGAGGUAAUGGCUCACCAAGGCGACGACGGGUAGCCGGCCUGAGAGGGCGACCGGCCACACUGGGACUGAGACACGGCCCAGACUCCUACGGGAGGCAGCAGUGGGGAAUAUUGCACAAUGGGCGAAAGCCUGAUGCAGCGACGCCGCGUGAGGGAUGACGGCCUUCGGGUUGUAAACCUCUUUCAGCAGGGAAGAAGCGAAAGUGACGGUACCUGCAGAAGAAGCACCGGCUAACUACGUG